rnacentral:rRNA from 1 species
CCUACGGGGGGCAGCAGUGGGGAAUAUUGGACAAUGGGCGAAAGCCUGAUCCAGCCCUGCCGCGUGUGUGAAGAAGGCCUUCGGGUUGUAAAGCACUUUCAGUGGGGAAGAAAGCCUUGGGGCUAAUACCCUCGAGGAAGGACAUCACCCACAGAAGAAGCACCGGCUAACUCCGUGCCAGCAGCCGCGGUAAUACGGAGGGUGCGAGCGUUAAUCGGAAUUACUGGGCGUAAAGCGCGCGUAGGCGGUCUGAUAAGCCGGUUGUGAAAGCCCCGGGCUCAACCUGGGAACGGCAUCCGGAACUGUCAGGCUAGAGUGCAGGAGAGGAAGGUAGAAUUCCCGGUGUAGCGGUGAAAUGCGUAGAGAUCGGGAGGAAUACCAGUGGCGAAGGCGGCCUUCUGGACUGACACUGACGCUGAGGUGCGAAAGCGUGGGUAGCAAACAGGAUUAGAUACCCGAGUAGUC